GCCCAGACUCCUACGGGAGGCAGCAGUGGGGAAUAUUGCACAAUGGGGGAAACCCUGAUGCAGCGACGCCGCGUGAGUGAAGAAGUAUUUCGGUAUGUAAAGCUCUAUCAGCAGGGAAGAAGAAGGACGGUACCUGAGUAAGAAGCCCCGGCUAACUACGUGCCAGCAGCCGCGGUAAUACGUAGGGGGCUAGCGUUAUCCGGAUUUACUGGGUGUAAAGGGAGCGUAGACGGCGAUGCAAGCCAGAUGUGAAAGCCCGGGGCUCAACCCCGGGACUGCAUUUGGAACUGUGUGGCUGGAGUGUCGGAGAGGCAGGCGGAAUUCCUAGUGUAGCGGUGAAAUGCGUAGAUAUUAGGAGGAACACCAGUGGCGAAGGCGGCCUGCUGGACGAUGACUGACGUUGAGGCCCGAAAGCGUGGGGAGCAAACAGGAUUAGAUACCCCAGUAAC
rnacentral:rRNA from 1 species